GGCUAAGUUAAUUUUUUUUAGUGGGCUUGUUUCUUAUUUUUUGGUUGGGCUAGAAGGUCGGAGCCCAUGUUUUUUUUGGUUGGGUUUGGGGGAUAAAAAGACGGGCUGGCCUGCUCGUUUCUUUUGGGUUUCGGCUGGGCUUAAGUAGUGUCCGGCCCAAAUAAAUAAAAAUAUGGUCCGAUGGCCUUUUUCUCCCAAAUCAGAAACCGAAAUUUUCACCUUAGCCCCUGAUCUUUGGAGUAGUUUCACUUUGGCCCAGAACAUUUUAAAUUUAUUUCACUAAGGUCCUUAAUUUAAUUUCAUUUUGGUCCUUUAAUUUUAUCUUUCAUUUAAUUUUGACCCCUGAACUUUGGAAAAUAUAAUUUUUGUCCCCCAAAAGUUUUCAAUUUUUGCAAUUCAGUCCUUGACAAAUUUUGGCUCUCUUUAUUAUGAUUGUUUCUUUUCUUCAAUAACUAAUUAUGUUACUUUUGAAUAUACUUAACUUGUAAUUUUUAGAUUUGCUUAAAUUUCUUUACGUCUGACAUAUUAGUGUGAAUUUAGUGCUUGUAUUAUUAUUUUCUUUUUCAAUUAAAUUGGUGCCAUGAUCCUUUUGUUCAUUGUGAGUAUAAUUAGGACAAUUUGACUCCAUUUAGUCACCACUUCAAACGGGAGGUACUCCUAUUUUAUUAUUUCAAUGUCAAUUACGUGCUCUUAUGUGCUCUUAUGUGUUCCUAUGUGUUUAUAUAUCUUUAUAUGCUUUAUUUAUUUGAUUUAAAUAUUCAUUCAAAUUUUCUUAUAUAUGUUUUAGUUAGUUUUUAUAAUGAUUCGAGAGGUAUUUAAAUACCUCAAAAAUGUAAUAGAUAGGAUAAUUAGAUUUGUUUUAUUAUAUUUUUCCCUCCUAGAUUGUAGUUAGGCGCUCCCCGAUGUAAUAGAUAGGUUGCGUGUUUAUGUGGCUUAUGUGUUAAGUGUUUUAUCCGCUUUUCUUAGGAUUUUGGCAUCUAGAUAUUAUGCUUACGUGUUAUGUGUUACGUGCUCUUAUGUGUUUAUUUGUUUUAAUUUAUGCUUUAUUUGCUUCACUAUGAAUUGUUAAUGCAUAACGUCACCACACUAGUCCAACGCUAGUUGUGGCUUCUCUCUUCGCUUACUUGCUAGUCCAACGCUAGUAAGGAUAUUUAGAAAUGGGCUAGUCCAACGCUAGACCCUUUAGGUCGUCUUGCGUUAGAUUCAUCUUUGUGUGCUAUUCACUACAUCUUCAUGCAUAUUUUUAUUUUUAGGAUCUUUUCUCAUUUGCAUGAUAUUUCUUAUUAUAUUAUCCCCUACCCUCUAUAGGCGUUAAUCAUGUCAUUUAGAAUUGCAUCUCAUUUAAGUUAGUUCAUUUGCUUGUUCAUGUUUGGAGAAUUAUUCUUUAAAUAUGGAAAAUGGGGUGAUCAUAACUUUUUAGUUUAAAUACUCCAUUAAUCCCUACAUAAGAAAAUCAUGUCACGAAUUUUUGUCCCCCGUACCCGUUAUGCUUGCAUUCAUUUUUCUUUGCUCACUUAUACCUUAUGUAUAUAAUUUAAUUUUCUUUUCUUUUCUUUUAAUUUCAUCAUUUGCAUACUCGUGACACUUUCAAGGAAUCAUUUUGGCCUUUGCAAUUAAUGCGAUUGGUUCAAUUAAACCCUUGAAUGAACAUUGUGUCCCUCUCGAUAUUUUUAUAAAUUUUGAUUUGCAUCCAUGUAAGAAACAUCCAAACGUGAUAAAAUUAAGGGUUAAAUUAGGAAAAUUUUGACUAAACCUCGCAACUAGCUUAGACUAGGUUGAAAGGGUGCCUUAGGUUUGAAUCAAUUAAACCUUUGCCUUCCCUUUCUUCAACCGUGACUCCCGAACCUAUUUUCUCUUGUUUUCAAAGACCUGGAGUUGUUAAAAAGGGUUUUGAUUUAUUUUAUUUUUGUCAAAAAUAUUUUUUGGGUGACUUGGUACACCAAAAAUCCAUACCAAGUGGCGACUCCCCUUUUUCUUGAAAACCCUUUUUAGACUAAAUUUUUGGACCUAAAUUGUCGCAUUUUUUAAAGUCCCAUUCUAGGUCCCCCUGUCACUUAUUUUUAAAUAAGAUCACAUCUUUUAUAAAUCACCUUUAUAUUUAUUUUUCUUGUAAAAAAUGGGGCGCGACACAACCCGUAUUCUUGAAUUGUGAUUAAAUUGUUCUAGUAUUAUACUGUAUUUAUUUGUUUAUAUUACGCCUCUAAUUGGGUAUAUGCCUACAUGUUUAUUUGGAAUUUCAUUGAGUUUUAGCUCACCCCACUCCAUUUUGUUUUCCUUAACAGGUCUGUGAUGGAACUGCUGUCAAGAACUUGCGUAGUCUUAAAUUUUAUCUUGAACUUGUAUUUUGAGUUGUAAUUCUUUUGUUUAGAAGAUUUUUUCUUUGAGUUUUAUAAGUUUGAAUUUGUAAGUUGGGCACUUAUUAUGUAAAUUAAGUUUAAAAUUGUAAGUUUGACAUUUAAUUCUAUAUUAUAAGUUUAAGAAGUUGGUG
rnacentral:lncRNA from 1 species